UGGCUCUCGCAUCGAUGAAGAACGCAGCGAAAUGCGAUAAGUAAUGUGAAUUGCAGAAUUCAGUGAAUCAUCGAAUCUUUGAACGCACCUUGCGCUCCUUGGUAUUCCGAGGAGCAUGCCUGUUUGAGUGUCGUGAAAUUCUCAAUUCCUCUCUUUCUUAACUGAAAGGUUGAAUUGGACUUGGGGACUUGCUGGUUUUGUAUCGGCUUCCCUUGAAUUCAUUAGCUGGAGUACGAAUUUGUAGCAUAUAUGCGGUGUAAUAAUGUUUUUCACUGUGUAGCUCUCAAGCCUUUCUAGCUUCAAACCGUCUUUGAAAAGAGACAACUUUGACAAUCAGACCUCAAAUCAGGUAGGACUACCCGCUGA
rnacentral:misc_RNA from 1 species